AUAUUACUUCGGCAAUACACACACUGAAAUUGAAACGAUACAGAGAAGAUUAGUCUGAACCGUGCGCAAGGAUGACGUGCAAAUUCGUGAAGCGUUGCAUAUUUUA